UACGUAGGGGGCAAGCGUUGUCCGGAAUCACUGGGCGUAAAGAGCGUGUAGGCGGCUUGGUAAGUCCGCUGUGAAAGUCCAGGGCUCAACCCUGGAAAGCCGGUGGAAACUGUCAAGCUUGAGUCCGGAAGAGGCGAGUGGAAUUCCUGGUGUAGCGGUGAAAUGCGCAGAUAUCAGGAGGAACACCAAUGGCGAAGGCAGCUCGCUGGGACGGUACUGACGCUGAGACGCGAAAGCGUGGGGAGCAAACAGG
rnacentral:rRNA from 1 species